AGAGUUUGAUCCUGGCUCAGGACGAACGCUGGCGGCGUGCCUAAUACAUGCAAGUCGAACGGGGUCCAACCGGUGGCAACACCGGUGAAGACCUAGUGGCGAACGGGUGAGUAGCACGUGAGCAACCUGCCCCGAAGACUGGGAUAACACCGGGAAACCGGUGCUAAUACCGGAUGUCCCCAUCAGACCGCAUGAUCUGAUGAGGAAAGGAUUUCUGCUUCGGGAGGGGCUCGCGGCCUAUCAGCUUGAUGGUGAGGUAAUGGCUCACCAUGGCGACGACGGGUAGCUGGUCUGAGAGGACGAUCAGCCACACUGGGACUGAGACACGGCCCAGACUCCUACGGGAGGCAGCAGUAGGGAAUCUUGCGCAAUGGGCGAAAGCCUGACGCAGCAACGCCGCGUGAGGGACGAAGGCUUUCUGAGUUGUAAACCUCUUUCAGCAGGGACGAUUGUGACGGUACCUGCAGAAGAAGCACCGGCCAACUACGUGCCAGCAGCCGCGGUGAUACGUAGGGUGCGAGCGUUGUCCGGAUUUAUUGGGCGUAAAGAGCUCGUAGGCGGUUCGAUAAGUCGGGUGUGAAAUCUCCAGGCUCAACCUGGAGUCGCCACUCGAUACUGUCGUGACUAGAGUCCGGUAGGGGACCAUGGAAUUCCUGGUGUAGCGGUGAAAUGCGCAGAUAUCAGGAGGAACACCAGUAGCGAAGGCGGCGGUCUGGGCCGGCACUGACGCUGAGGAGCGAAAGCGUGGGGAGCGAACAGGAUUAGAUACCCCUGUAGUCC
rnacentral:rRNA from 1 species